CCUGGCUCAGGAUGAACGCUAGCGGCAGGCUAACACAUGCAAGUCGAGGGGCAGCGGGAUGUAGCAAUACAUUGCCGGCGACCGGCGGAUGGGUGCGUAACGCGUAUGCAACCUACCUUAUACAGGGGAAUAACCUUUCGAAAGGGAGACUAACACCCCAUGGUAUUGAUUUAAGGCAUCUUAGAUUAAUUAAAUAUUUAUAGGUAUAAGAUGGGCAUGCGUAUGAUUAGCUAGUUGGUAAGGUAACGGCUUACCAAGGCGACGAUCAUUAGGGGUUCUGAGAGGAAGGUCCCCCACACUGGUACUGAGACACGGACCAGACUCCUACGGGAGGCAGCAGUGAGGAAUAUUGGUCAAUGGGCGCAAGCCUGAACCAGCCAUGCCGCGUGCAAGGAAGACGGCCUUAUGGGUUGUAAACUGCUUUUACAUAAGACUAACCGUAUAUUUGCGAAUAUACCUGAAUGUAUUAUGAGAAUAAGGAUCGGCUAACUCCGUGCCAGCCGCCGC
rnacentral:rRNA from 1 species